UGAAGCCGAGGUGUGUGGAAGUUGUGCCGUUGCUGCCGGGUGGCCGGGUGGCCAAGGAGGAUUCUGCAAGCUGUAUAGGUCGUUUGAGAACACAUGAGGAACUCCUGCUACAUUGUUCUGCUGACUAUAUUCCAGCUUUAAGAAAGCCUGGGAAGAGAUUAGGACACUGUUGCACACAGUGGGAAGACCACGUGAGGACACAGUGAAAAGAUGGACAUCUAUCUACAAGCCAAGGAGAGAGGCCUCAGAAGAAACCAACUCUACCAACUUCUAGCCGUCAGAAUGAGUAAAGGGAAAGAACCACGUUACCUGUCAACGCUGAGAGCGCAGAGAUUGAGGACGGUGAUCCCCACUGAGGACUUCUGCAAAAAGGGGAACAACUUGCAGAGAAAUACGCCAAAGUCAUUGUGAUCAAAAGGCCAGCG